rnacentral:rRNA from 1 species
UGAAUACGAGAUGCUACGGCGUCGAAGCAGUCUAUGUCAUACUUCCAAGAAAAGCUUGCACUGUCAUAAACAAAUAAUGCCUGUACCAUAACCGACACAGGUGGGUAGGUAGAGUAUACUAAGGGGCGCGAGAUAACUCUCUCUAAGGAACUCGGCAAAAUGACUCCGUAACUUCGGGAGAAGGAGUGCCUUAUUUAUAAGGUUGCAAUAACAAGAUCCAAGCAACUGUUUACCAAAAACACAGGUCUCCGCUAAGUCGUAAGACGAUGUAUGGGGGCUGACGCCUGCCCAGUGCCAGAAGGUUAAAGAAGUUGGUUAGCAUCCGCGAAGCUGAUAACUGAAGCCCUGGUGAACGGCGGCCGUAACAAUAACGGUCCUAAGGUAGCGAAAUUCCUUGUCGGGUAAGUUCCGACCCGCACGAAAGGCGUAAUGAUUUGGAUACUGUCUCGGAGAGGGGCUCGGUGAAAUAGACUUGUCUGUGAAGAUGCGGACUACCUGCACCAGGACAGAAAGACCCUAUGAAGCUUUACUGUAACCUGAAAUUGAAAUUGGACUUUACUUGCGCAGUAUAGGUGGGAGGCGUUGAGAAUAUUCUUGCGGGAUUAUUGGAGCCAUCAGUGAGAUACCACUCUUGUAAUGUUAGAUUUCUAACUUUGUAUCAUUAUCUGGUCAAAGAACAGUUUCAGGCGGGCAGUUUGACUGGGGCGGUCGCCUCCUAAACGGUAACGGAGGCGCACAAAGGUUUCCUCUGAACGGGUAGAAAUCGUAUCUAGAGUGUAAAGGCAUAAGGAAGCUUGACUGUGAGACCUACAAGUCGAGCAGGGACGAAAGUCGGUCUUAGUGAUCUGACGGUGCUGAGUGGAAAGGCCGUCACUCAACGGAUAAAAGUUACUCUAGGAUAACAGGCUGAUCUCCCCCAAGAGUUCACAUCGACGGGGAGGUUUGGCACCUCGAUGUCGGCUCAUCGCAUCCUGGGGCGGUAGUACGUCCCAAGGGUUGGGCUGUUCGCCCAUGAAAGCGGUACGCGAGCUGGGUUCAGAACGUCGUGAGACAGUUCGGUCCAUAUCCGGUGUAGGCGUUAGAAUAUUGAGAGGAGCCUUCUUUAGUACGAGAGGACCGAGAAGGACAUACCUCUGGUGUACCAGUUAUCGUGCCAACGGUAAACGCUGGGUAGCUAUGUGUGGAGUGGAUAACCGCUGAAAGCAUCUAAGUGGGAAGCCCACCUCAAGAUAAGUAUUCUCAU